AUGUAAAUUUUUGUGUGAAUAAUUAUUUAUUUGAAUAAUAAAUAAUUUUUUGUUAUCUCAUUAAUUUAUUUUAUUAAUACAAGUAAAUUUGUGAAUAGUAAUUUUAUUUUAUACAGGUUGAAUUUGUGCCAGCAGCCGCGUUAUACAAAUAGUAUAAAUUAUUAUAUCGGUUAUUUGUUAUUAGUAUUGUAUAUAUAUAUAUAUAUAUAUAUAUAUAAUUUUAAUUGUUUAUAUGAGUUUAUUAGGUAAAAUUUUAAAUUUGUUAUUGUAGAGAAAAGAUUAAGAAGCUAUUAAAUUUUAAUUAAAAACUAGGAUUAGAUACCCUAUUAUUUAAAUCUUAAACAUGUUAAUACUUAGGUAGUAGUAGUUAUGUUCUUGAAACUUAAAAAAUUUGGCGGUAUUUUAGUCUAUUCAGAGGAACCUGUUUUUUAGUCGAUAGUCCACGUUGUACCUUACUUAAUUUUGUAUUUCAAUUUAUAUACCGUCGUUUAUAGAAUAUUUUAUAAGAAUAAUAAUUUUCAAUAAUUUUAAAUAAUUUAUAUCAGAUCAAGGUGUAAUUUAUGGUUAAGUUAGAAUGGGUUACAAUAAAUUUAUUUUCGGAUUUAGGUUUGAAAUUUUUAAUAAAGUUGGAUUUGAUAGUAAAAUUAUAAAGAUUGGUAAUUUGAUUAUAGCUCUAAAAUAUGCACAUAUCGCCCGUCGCUCUUUUUAUUUAAAGAAAGAUAAGUCGUAACAUAGUAGAUGUA
rnacentral:rRNA from 1 species